rnacentral:rRNA from 1 species
AGUGAACGCUGGCGGUAGGCCUAACACAUGCAAGUCGAACGGCAGCACAGUAAGAGCUUGCUCUUACGGGUGGCGAGUGGCGGACGGGUGAGGAAUACAUCGGAAUCUACUUUUUGGUGGGGGAUAACGUAGGGAAACUUACGCUAAUACCGCAUACGACCUACGGGUGAAAGCAGGGGAUCUUCGGACCUUGCGCGAUUGAAUGAGCCGAUGUCGGAUUAGCUAGUUGGCGGGGUAACGGCCCACCAGGGCGACGAUCGGUAGCUGGUCUGAGAGGAUGAUCAGCCACACUGGAACUGAGACACGGUCCAGACUCCUACGGGAGGCAGCAGUGGGGAAUAUUGGACAAUGGGCGCAAGCCUGAUCCAGCCAUACCGCGUGGGUGAAGAAGGCCUUCGGGUUGUAAAGCCCUUUUGUUGGGAAAGAAAAGCAGCAGGUUAAUACCCCGCUGUUCUGACGGUACCCAAAGAAUAAGCACCGGCUAACUUCGUG